rnacentral:rRNA from 1 species
AGAGUUUGAUCCUGGCUCAGAGCGAACGCUGGCGGCAGGCUUAACACAUGCAAGUCGAACGGGCACUUCGGUGCUAGUGGCAGACGGGUGAGUAACACGUGGGAACGUACCUUUCGGUUCGGAAUAAUCCAGAGAAACUUGGACUAAUACCGGAUACGCCCUUCGGGGGAAAGAUUUAUCGCCGAUAGAUCGGCCCGCGUCUGAUUAGCUAGUUGGUGAGGUAAUGGCUCACCAAGGCGACGAUCAGUAGCUGGUCUGAGAGGAUGAUCAGCCACAUUGGGACUGAGACACGGCCCAAACUCCUACGGGAGGCAGCAGUGGGGAAUAUUGGACAAUGGGCGCAAGCCUGAUCCAGCCAUGCCGCGUGAGUGAUGAAGGCCUUAGGGUUGUAAAGCUCUUUUGUCCGGGAAGAUAAUGACUGUACCGGAAGAA